rnacentral:rRNA from 1 species
GACAGAGGUGCCGAGCGUUAGGCGGAAUCACUGGGCUUAAAGCGUGUGUAGGCGGGUCGGUAAGUACCUUGUGAAAUCCCCCGGCUCAACCGGGGAAUGGCUGGGUAUACUGGCGAUCUUGAGCGAUCCAGGGGCAGAUGGAACAAGUGGUGGAGCGGUGAAAUGCGUAGAUAUCACUUGGAACGCCAAAGGUGAAGACAGUCUGCUGGGGAUCUGCUGACGCUGAGACACGAAAGCCAGGGGAGCGAACGGG